GAAAAGUUUGAUUCUUGCUUAGUGAUUUAUUGUAAUAAUUAUGCACAUGUUCAUUGGCAGUGUAAAGUCUUACACAAUUUAAAGAUGUAAAAAUUAUUAUAUAACUAGACAAAUAUUGUGCCAGCAUCUGCGGUUACACUUAAAGUUAAAAUUAAUCUUUUUAGCUAAAGUUAAUUUUAGCUCUAAUUAAAUUUUGGUUUAUUUAUGUGAAAUUAAAAAGCUUUUAUUUUAUAUAAGGUUAUUUAAAUUAAAAUAGAGUUGGUUUAAACCGGGAUUAGAGACCCCGCUAUUUUUUCGCCCCGGUUGCUUGAGUAGUAAUUGUUAUUAAUAAACUCAAAGAAUUUGGCGGUGUUUUAUUCUCAUUAGAGGAACCUGAUAUUUAAUUGAUUUUACACUUUGGAGCACUUUUAAUGUUCUUGUAUACCGUUGUCUAAGGAAUUAAUUUGUAGGUUUUUUCUGGCCCUUAAUUGGUAAAAGACAAAUCUAGGUGCAGAGUUUAAAAGUUUAAUUGGGUUACAAUUAUUUAAAUAAUACAAUUUUAAUAGGCUGCUUUAAUUUUUGUAUUGGAUUUAAGAGUAAUAUUUUGGCCUACUAAAUUUUAAUUGAGCCCUGGAACAUGUACAUAUCGCCCGUCGCUCUGGUUAUAAAAUUAGAUAAGUCGUAACAAAGUAGUAUUUCCGGAAGGAGGCGCUUGAUUGUA
rnacentral:ncRNA from 1 species